rnacentral:rRNA from 1 species
CAGCACCUCAAGUGGUCAGGAUGAUUAUUGGGCCUAAAGCAUCCGUAGCCGGCGCUGUAAGUUUUCGGUUAAAUCUGUACGCUCAACGUACAGGCUGCCGGGAAUACUGCAGCGCUAGGGAGUGGGAGAGGUAGACGGUACUCGGUAGGAAGGGGUAAAAUCCUUUGAUCUAUUGAUGACCGCCCGUGGCGAAGGCGGUCUACCAGAACACGUCCGACGGUGAGGGAUGAAAGCUGGGGGAGCAAACCGGAUUAGAUACCCGAGUAGUCC